GUGUCUGUGGUGUAGCGGUUAUCACGUCCUCUUUACACGCGGAAGGUCUCAGGUUCGAUCCCUGAUAGACACA
rnacentral:tRNA from 1 species